rnacentral:rRNA from 1 species
AGCGAACGCUGGCGGCAGGCUUAACACAUGCCAGUCGAGCGGGCAUCUUCGGAUGUCAGCGGCAGACGGGUGAGUAACACGUGGGAACGUACCCUUCGGUUCGGAACGACUCUGGGAAACUGGAGCUAAUACCGGAUACGCCCUUAUGGGGAAAGGUUUACUGCCGAAGGAUCGGCCCGCGUCUGAUUAGCUAGUUGGUGGGGUAACGGCCUACCAAGGCGACGAUCAGUAGCUGGUCUGAGAGGAUGAUCAGCCACACUGGGACUGAGGCACGGCCCAGACUCCUACGGGAGGCAGCAGUGGGGAAUAUUGGACAAUGGGCGCAAGCCUGAUCCAGCCAUGCCGCGUGAGUGAUGAAGGCCUUAGGGUUGUAAAGCUCUUUUGUCCGGGACGAUAAUGACGGUACCGGAAGAAUAAGCCCCGGCUAACUUCGUG